AUCCUUUGAGGACGAUUUCACAGAAGUGGAGCCCGGGCCGUUGACGGUCAGGUGGGAAGAUACAGAACAGCAAUCGGGAAGCCCCAGUCGGAUCGCCCUAGGGAGAUGGGGGGAGGAUGGAGUCUGCGUUCUUCUCGAUUUUAUCCCCCACCGUGAUGUGCCGCUGACAAACCCUAGGUGUCAGCGUGACGAAUACCCAUUGGGGUCUUGCCAAUCAACUGGCACUCUGGUGACCGUUCAGAUCCCUAAUAUUAGGUGCGACCGCUGCUUUCUCCAGCUGAUGUCCGUGAGAGUUCCAAGAGGC